UAUACGCGUGAUGCUUUUCAGCUGGCUUCACUUUCGUCUUUCGAAAAUGGGUUGAAUUGAAGAAAUUGUGCAGGCGGUGGAUAAAAAUCAUCAUGAUCACUCGUCUCAUAAGAUUAUGGUGUAUUUGACUUUCGAGAAUGUGGUGACUUAAUGCUCUUAGCAUACAACUCCCAUCACCAAUGGUAUUUGGUAACUGAAACAUGGUGUGUGUCUUUAGCGUCUAUUUAACACUUGUAAGAGCAUUAAGUCACCACAUUCCCGAAGGUCAAAUACGCCAUAAUCUUAUGAAACGAGUGAUCAUAGCGACAUUUAUCUACCGUUCACAUUACUUGAAUUUAGACCAUUUUCGGAAGAGAAAAGUGGACCAACCAAAAAGCAUCCCGAAUACAACAAGAUAGAAAGUUGGGAUGUAUUUGAAAAGAGAAUGUCGCUAGAGUUUGAGUGGGGCAACUAUAUAUGCCUACAAGCCGCCGCAGAUGUGUUUUGUGUCAAAAUCAUCUUUAUAAGUUCUAAAAGAGUGCGGGUGAUGGAGAUCCUCCCAUAUGGCAAACGUGUCUACUAUGAUAAAUUCACAAUGAGUUAGUCAGCUUUGUAAGUUUUGUUCCAAAAAGGAGAAGUGGGAGAUUAAUCAGUUUAACUAAGCCCCUUUCUUUCAACCAACCAACGUGUGAUUAUGAUUCACUGCAACCAAGGAGAAAAGGAACUGAAAAUGGCAGAGAUUAUUGCAGGACUAGACAAGCAAUUUAAGAUGGAGAAGGGUUGAAGCUGUAAAAGUUCAGAUAGCAGAAGGUUAAGUCGGUGUAUAAGUUAAGGGACCAAAUGUGUCAAAAGAGAGAAGAUGGAGCUGGAAUAUAAAAGGGAAAUUAUUACCCUACUUUCAUUAUCAAUCAAUCAUAUUUUCUAUAUACAAAUUCGGCUGCUCUCUUGAAACAUAGAUAUACAUAUAUAUUCGAUAUUCAUAAUUUUGUAAUAGUACAUUCAAUAAUUAGUUGGAUGAUCAUCACUUGAUUAGCAGGUGAUGAUAUUGUUCUGAUUGAUUAUAUUGUUUGUGAGUGUUGUUAAUUGAUUUUAAUGAUCUAAUUGAGAUUAGAUAUUAUUCUUGAGAGAAUAAUAAGAGAUUAUUAAUAAUAAAUAAUAUUUUGUUCAGCAUUACUUGUAUACUGAUUAAGUUUGUGUUAAAAGUUUCUUUUGAUUUUGUUUGGGAUCAGUGGUAUGUUAGUUAAUCAAGGUGCAUCAGGUGUUAGUAUAUGAGUUGUGGGAUGUGUUAUAUAUAUUGAGUUCUUGACCCGUUUUUUGUUUUACAUUAUUUUGUGUCUUUUGGGUCGAUCCCAAUGUCCACCAUGGCUUAUCCUAUUGACAUCUAGGUGCAUAAUCACUUCGAAUGUGUCUCGUAAAAAAACUCUAAUAAUGAAAUUAACGGUAAAGAUAGGCAAAAAAGGAAUCACGGCGCAUCAUGUUUUAGUCUAUGAGUAGUUGCGUCUGUUAUUUUCAACCGUUGUUAUCCCAUCAUGCACCAUGUGUUAUCCUGUUGGUUUUAAGGUGCAUCGUGGCUUAGAAAUGUUCGUGUAUUCGUGACCAGGCCCCAAUUAUGCAUCAUGUCAAUUGUCAAAUCAUGUAGUAAUUAUUAAGCAUAAAUAUGGGUCAGUUCAUGGUCUGUACGGAGUGAAGGGGUGGUUGGUUAAUGAAUUGAUACAGCAUGGGGUCAAUUUCAAAAUUUUCAACGAUCUGAAACCGCAUGAUUAUUUUGGCGACAACAACAAGAACAAGAAGGAUUGUAAUGAUGAGUUUAAAGCAGAAUCUGAGGUUAUGAUGAGGGAAUUGGGGCUUUCAGUGGAAGACUUGAAAGAGUGAACCUUUUAUGAUGUGAUUGAAAACGACGAAACAGACCUUUGACGGUAAGAAAGUCACCAAGGAAGAGGCUCUGCGUAUUAUCGACGGAUAUAAUAAUUAUUACAAGAACCUGCAUUAUUAUGGUGUGGAUGUGGAGAAAAAGGAGACUACGAAAGCCCUAACGCUUAAACUUUGAUGAAUUAGUGCAGGCACAAGGUUUACCCCCAAACUGAACUAGAGAUCACCAGCCCCCCUGCUGAGGAGAAGAGGAAGGUGCUGAUUGAUAGCCAAAGCCGCCAUCGUCCUCGUUUUCUGCAUUUAGACUUUCAUGAAUUCCUGAUAGAACUGGGUUUUCCUGAUCCUGGUGAUAUCGAUCCCCAGCAGCUGCUUCCCUCAGAAUACCCCUGUGAUGAUAAUUAUUAUCAUUAAGAAACAUUAAUUUGUAGGUUGCUUAUUACUACUGCGUUGCUAAUCUGUGUUGUGUGACUUUGAUGUAUGUCGGAACUACUCAAAAUGCUACUUAUCUUGGAGCUUGAUAUAUGCUUAUUAUGUUGUCGUUUCUAGUUACUCCUGCUACCAUUAAUGUACAUUUAAAAACGCAUUUUGUGGUUAAUACAAUUCGAAGUUAGCUGUC